ACAAAAGGAUAACCAGGAGCCCAUUAGGAAAACAAACCGUCUCUUUCAGGAAAUGCAAAAUCUAGAGACCUUCUCUAUCUCUUGAGCAAUCGCAACCAUCAGCAGCUAAAAAUUCAUGUUUAAAAUUACAUCUAUAAUAGAUUUCACUCAAAGAUUUUGCUUUUGUAAUAUAGGCACUAAUGACAGUUGACAGAUCCAUCUUCGUUUUGUGCAUGUAGUUUCUUUACAAUUGUAAGAGAAUCUCUUUCAAUCACCACAUCCCUAAAACCCAGAUCAAGGCCCAUUUGAAUUACCUGGAGGCAUGCAAGCGCUUCUGUCGCCAAAGGAGUAGAUCUCAAACGUAUGAAUCGAUGAAAUUAACUAUUUCAAAAGUUGACAGUCGAAUCCUCAAUGGAAAAAAUGUUGAGCCAGGAACCCAAGCAUUCUUCCAGAUGGAUAUAUUGGUACUCGAUCCCACCCGCCAACACAUGUCUGUUUGAAGAAGUCCUUUCGCAGCCCAUAUACUCUUCGAGGUAUAACAAGGAUAUAUUGGCAGAACUCAGCAGGCGGAUUGAUCCACUGCUCACACUAUCCAACUCCUGUUUCGGUAUGAUUAUUUUAACUUUACAUCAGGUCAAGUGACAUGUAUAUAAUCUCUAUUUGGUGAAAUUUUAUAUGAAAUAAAUGAUGAUGUUUUUAA